rnacentral:rRNA from 1 species
UACAGAGGUCCCAAGCGUUGUUCGGAUUCACUGGGCGUAAAGGGUGCGUAGGUGGCGGGGUAAGUCGGAUGUGAAAUCUCGGAGCUCAACUCCGAAAUGGCAUUGGAAACUACCCUGCUAGAGGGUCGGAGGGGGGACUGGAAUACUUGGUGUAGCAGUGAAAUGCGUAGAUAUCAGGAGGAACACCGGUGGCGAAGGCGGUUCUCUGGGCCUGUACUGACGCUGAGGAACGAAAGCGUGGGGAGCAAACAGG